rnacentral:rRNA from 1 species
UACGUAGGUGGCAAGCGUUGUCCGGAUUUACUGGGUGUAAGGGGCGCGUAGGCGGGGCAGCAAGUCGGAUGUGAAAUAUCUCAGCUUAACUGAGAUCGUGCAUUUGAAACUGUUGUUCUUGAGUAUCGGAGAGGCAGGCGGAAUUCCCAGUGUAGCGGUGAAAUGCGUAGAUAUUGGGAGGAACACCAGUGGCGAAGGCGGCCUGCUGGACGACAACUGACGCUGAGGCGCGAAAGCGUGGGGAGCAAACAGGAUUA